UGGAAGAAUGUGCUUAUGUAGCACACUGAUUGGAAUAUUAAAUAUUAUCUUGGCUCCUUAUUACCAAAAUUCCGACUUGGUUCAUCCUCAUAUUUCCCGCAUGUUUUGCCAUUCAAUGAAGAAUAUAGAAUCUAUGGUCCCUCCUUUAAUAACAAUUUCAUUGGCAAGUAUCUAUAGACUAUAAAUAUGCAGUUUGGGUUGUCGCUAAGGUCAGUUGAGUAAGAGAAGAAGCAUUUGCAAAAGAGACAUAACAUGUAAAGUCAAAUGUCCCCUUGAGUUCCCUUAAACGCUUCAUUGUUCAUACUUUGUUAUCAUCUAUCGAUCGAUCAAUCAAUCUGAUGAACACUGAAGUGUUUGGGGGGACUCUAGGUGACAUCUUGGCACCCACAGGCUAUAUUAAUUAUCGAGCGGUGUAGUCAACGGUUGAGGUGAGUUAUGAGCCUUUUCAUGAAGAAGAUAAGUAAUGUGGUUGGUUAUUGAUCUAUCAUUCAUGAGUGAGUCAUUUCAUUUGUUAGUUAUACAAUUUGUUUCAA
rnacentral:precursor_RNA from 1 species